UAUCUGUUUGUCUAUAGAAUAGUUGUUUCAAUGUAAAUAAUGUUUUUAGUUUUAUUUUUCAUUAUCUUGAAAUAAUUUUAUUUAAUAAUUUAAUUAUUUAUUCAUCAUGUCAUUUAAAUAUAAUAAAAUUUUUGAUAUUUGGAAAUACUCGAAGAUUAUUGGGAUUUGUAGAUAUUUUAUAAACACACGACUUUAAUGAUAAAUGAACGUUCAGCUUUAUCAACGGACAUAAUUAAUGGGUGUUAUGCAUAUGAAUCAGAAUAUAUGAUCUCCAAAUUUUAUUUGAAAUAAAUGAAUUUGCAUAAAUUUUUGUGUACAAAAUUUGGACUUUUAUCUGGUACGUAAUAUAUUAUAGAAACGAUGAGUGUCAUGCAUAAAUCUAUUUAUGCAAAAAGCAAAUGUAAAUGGAUUAUAAAAGUUUGUUAAUUUUUAUUGUAAAUGACAGAUAAAUAGUUGAAUGAAUUAAACAUGGAAUAAAAUGCCUAGUGUUAACUAAACAACAGA